UACAGAGGUGGCAAGCGUUGUUCGGAAUUACUGGGCGUAAAGGGCGCGUAGGCGGUCUUAUAAGUCUCGUGUGAAAUCCCUCGGCUUAACUGAGGAACUGCACGGGAUACUGCAAGACUUGAGAUCGGGAGAGGGAAGCGGAAUUCCGGGUGUAGCGGUGAAAUGCGUAGAUAUCCGGAGGAACACCGGUGGCGAAGGCGGCUUCCUGGACCGACACUGACGCUGAGGCGCGAAAGCUAGGGGAGCAAACAGG
rnacentral:rRNA from 1 species